rnacentral:rRNA from 1 species
GUGGAUACCACCCAGUACCUGCUGAUCGUGUUUCAUUCCAGAAGCUAAGCAGGGUCAGGCCGGGUUAAUAUUUGGAUGGGAAGCCAGAAGGGAACAGCAGGCAUCCCCA